GACGAACGCUGGCGGCGUGCUUAACACAUGCAAGUCGAGCGGUAAGGCCCUUUCGGGGGUACACGAGCGGCGAACGGGUGAGUAACACGUGGGUGACCUGCCCUCAGCUCUGGGAUAAGCCUGGGAAACUGGGUCUAAUACUGGAUAUGACUCCACGGUGCAUGUCGUGGGGUGGAAAGCCUUGUGCGGCUGAGGAUGGGCCCGCGGCCUAUCAGCUUGUUGGUGGGGUGAUGGCCUACCAAGGCGACGACGGGUAGCCGGCCUGAGAGGGCGACCGGCCACGCUGGGACUGAGACACGGCCCAGACUCCUACGGGAGGCAGCAGUGGGGAAUCUUGCGCAAUGGGCGAAAGCCUGACGCAGCGACGCCGCGUGAGGGAUGACGGCCU
rnacentral:rRNA from 1 species